rnacentral:rRNA from 1 species
AUUGAACGCUGGCGGCAGGCCUAACACAUGCAAGUCGAACGGUAAUAGGAAGAAGCUUGCUUCUUUGCUGACGAGUGGCGGACGGGUGAGUAAUGUCUGGGAAACUGCCUGAUGGAGGGGGAUAACUACUGGAAACGGUAGCUAAUACCGCAUAACGUCGCAAGACCAAAGAGGGGGACCUUCGGGCCUCUUGCCAUCGGAUGUGCCCAGAUGGGAUUAGCUAGUAGGUGGGGUAACGGCUCACCUAGGCGACGAUCCCUAGCUGGUCUGAGAGGAUGACCAGCCACACUGGAACUGAGACACGGUCCAGACUCCUACGGGAGGCAGCAGUGGGGAAUAUUGCACAAUGGGCGCAAGCCUGAUGCAGCCAUGCCGCGUGUAUGAAGAAGGCCUUCGGGUUGUAAAGUACUUUCAGCGGGGAGGAAGGGAGUAAAGUUAAUACCUUUGCUCAUUGACGUUACCCGCAGAAGAAGCACCGGCUAACUCCGUG